rnacentral:rRNA from 1 species
GAAUAUUGGACAAUGGGGGGAACCCUGAUCCAGCCAUGCCGCGUGUGUGAAGAAGGCCUUAUGGUUGUAAAGCACUUUAAGCGAGGAGGAGGCUACUGAGACUAAUACUCUUGGAUAGUGGACGUUACUCGCCGAAUAAGCCCCGGCUACCUCUGUGCCAGCAGCCGCGGUAAUACAGAGGGUGCGAGCGUUAAUCGGAUUUACUGGGCGUAAAGCGUGCGUAGGCGGCUUUUUAAGUCGGAUGUGAAAUCCCCGAGCUUAACUUGGGAAUUGCAUUCGAUACUGGGAAGCUAGAGUAUGGGAGAGGAUGGUAGAAUUCCAGGUGUAGCGGUGAAAUGCGUAGAGAUCUGGAGGAAUACCGAUGGCGAAGGCAGCCAUCUGGCCUAAUACUGACGCUGAGGUACGAAAGCAUGGGGAGCAAACAGG